rnacentral:misc_RNA from 1 species
CGCAGCUUGCGCUCCUCGGUAUUCCGAGGAGCAUGCCUUUUUGAGUGUCGUUAAUCUUCUCCAACCAUUUUUUUAUAAAAGAAAAUGCGCGGGUCCUUGGGCUUGCUUGGCCGCCGCGCCAAGCUUGCCUUAAAUAUAUGAGCUGAAGAUCAGUCGGGUUGCUAAGGCAAUUACUAGCCCGCGUAAACGGUCUUCGCUUACUUUUUUUUUUAAUACUGGCCUCAAAUAAGGUAGGACUACCCGCUGAACUUAA